AGCACUUUGAAUUGUUAAGCCUCAUGCCCUGUGUGUGUGUGUGUGUGUGUGUGUGUGUGUGUGUGUGUGUGUGUACAAAAGUUUCAACAUGGUAUUAAUAUAAUAGGCAAGCAACCUUCAUUUAAAAUUUUAAUUCUCACAGGCCCCAAAGCUCAAGUUAUUAACAUUUCUUGUUGAACAGUAAAAAGUUUUGUUGAAGAAAUAACUUUCACUGUCACUUUGAAGUCGGGAUCCGAGUCCUUUAAUAUUGAAUAUUUGAGUAAUAAAAGAGCAUCUCUUUCUACAUAAACCAGCUGCACACUUCUCCCACAUACCUGUUACAUUUAACAAAGACAUUACAGAUGUUUGACAGCUGAAUAGUUCUGAUAAAACAAGCCUGAAUCACAGUUUUCCUCCAGUAUUUUGAACAGUAUUUGUGUUACCACGUUCUAAUCAGGCUCCCUUUAUAAAGGGUUUAUAAGUUGUAAUGAAUGGCUUCCUCAGAGUUUCAUAGACCAGUUAUAAGCCAUCAUUAUAAGAAUUUUUGGGUUGCCAGGUUGUGUUUUUUAGCUCUUAGCUCAUCAGUUAGACCCCUCCAAUGUACUAUUUGACCGCUUAACUACUGGAAAAGAUUUGCCAAAUUUACCAAAAUUGAUUUAUUAAUGACUCAAUAAAAUGUAUAACCGCAGACUUGACGGCUCAUUAGAAAGUGACAAACCAAUGAGCGUUUCUGAGUAGAUUACCAGCAUUGCUAACAGUAUUAUUACCACAUAGAAAGGAUGAACACCAGUCAGAGGGAUUUCUCACAAGCUGCUGUUGUUCCUAUUAGCGGCACAAAACAUUGUUUAUUAACCAUUAACAACUUGUAACUCUUUACAAAGGCUGUUGUAUUAGAAAACUGGACUGUACUGAGUAUAGUACCUGAGAGAGUUAUAAUGGUCAGAGCCCAAAUGCUGCACAUAUUCUACAUUUAUCUAAACGGGGUGAUAUUAUUUAUUAUUUCACAAACAAAGUGUUUAGGUCAGCCCACAACCAAUCAGCAGCAAACUGAGCUGACUUACUGAAUGGCCUUUUGGUUAACAUACUUUAUAUGAAAAGGCAAAACCCAAACAAACUGAAACAACAAAAUAUACAAACUCCACCACCAUGAUUUCCCCUUUACAGGAUUUUCAUUUGAAAGAAUUGGUCCUUCCGGUGCAGUUCCCAUCGCAGACGUCAUCUCACCACCUCCAACAAGAUACCCCCAUCAGACGUCCCACAACUGUUCCAGACAAAGCACAGGUUUGAGGAUGGGUUAGCUUGGCUGUUGUUUCUUCUCCUUUUGGAUUUUGCACCUGUUGUUGCUGUUGUUCUUUUCGAUCUCUUGGAGCAUCUCAGCCGUGUAGAGGUUUCCUCCUGUUGUCUGAAUCAUGCCUUUGGUGUUAUGAUCCUCCGACUUUGAGGAUGUCAAUGAAGUCAUCUCUACACCUCAAAGUGUUAGCCAGUUUCUCAGUACUGACAUCAUUCAGUAAGGCCAAGAGGUCAUAAUCAGUCAUUGUGUGGCCAAACGUUUUUCUAAAACACUGCCCAAAAAAUUACCGCGCCUUUAAAAAUCACAUCUUGGUUGCUUCACCUCAACUUGCCUGAAAAGAAAAGCUGCUUUCUGCCAUAAAAUGCAUUUCCUUGUGAGAUGGGAUGGAUUCUGACUCUGUACUAGAGCUGAAACUAGCAAUUAUUUUCAUUGUUGAUUAUUUUCUCGAUUAAUC